CCUUGUUGCUAGGCACGGAAUGGUUUGCGGCAACUGUAGAUGCUGUCAAGUUUGAAACGAGAGGAGAGGAAAAAGUUUUUCUCAGGUGCUACGAGUUCUGGCCAAUGAGAUACAAGUGAAAAUAUUGUGUGAAACACUGAGGAAGUUCUUCAGAAGGAUACAGUUCUUCAUUGCUUGCCUUCUUCCUGCUUUUGAAAUCAGGAUUGCUGACUCCUUGAGGGGGAGAGUAAGACUGGAGGAGUGAAGGCCUUGAAACUAUGGAAUAUCGUAACCAAUCACAGACUCCCUUCCUCCAUUCUCUUGUAUAGAGAGAAAAAUAAAUUUGUAUGUUGUCUAAGCCCUCAUUAUCUUAGGUUGUCAGACAUACACAGCCAAAGUUAAUCCUAUCCAGUGUACAUAUGGAUAUUAACUUCCUAUUGCUGCUAUAAAAAUUACCACAAGCAGUGGAUUAAAAUAAAUUUAUUAUAAUUCUUAAAUCAGAUGUAUAAAAUGGGUCUCAUGAGGCUAAAAUCAAGGUUUUGGCAGGAUUGGGCUCCUUCAAAAAGCUCUAGGGGAGAAUUUGUUUCUUUGCCUUUCCAGCUUCUAGAGGCUGUUCACAUUCCUUGGUUCUUAGGCCAUUUCCUCCAUCUUCAAAGCCAGUAACAUCUGGCAGAGUCAUCUUUUUGCUAGCUUACUAUACUGUCACAGCCUUUUGGGGAUGGAUACCAGGAGUCGAACUCAUGACUUCAGGCCUGCCAAGCAGACACUGUGGUGCUGAGCUAUAUCCCUGGCCACUAGUACUGUCUACUCUUUCUCCCUCUUCCACAUUUAAGGCCUUUGAAUAAAUUGAACCCAUCUAGACAAUUCAGAAUAUUCCUCCAUUUCAAGAUCUACUUAUUAGAAAGCUAAUCCUAGUCUAUAUUCUUUCCUUUUGCAAUAUAACAACAUAUUCACAGGUUUGGACAGCAGGGACAUGGAUAUCUUUGGGGGCUACUCUUCUCCCCUCUUUAGUAUUUAAGUUUUAAGUUUUGUGACUGAAACAUGUUUUUAUUUAUUGAUUUGUUACAGUUUUAUAGAAUUAUGCCAACUGGUUAUUGUUCUUUAUAGAAUGUUUAGCAUUUGUUCUACAUGUAAAUUUCAAUAAUUACUGAUUUAUUUGCUAAUAUUCUUGAACAUAUUCUAUGUGACAGGCACUGCAUUGGCAUAUAAAUCCCUAGUAUGGUCUGUGAUUGUAUAAGAAUCUUACAGGGUUGGGGGAGAAAUGGAUUUACAAAAAUGCUAUUAAAUAUCAAGGGACAGUGAUGUAUAUAGUAUGAUAAAUUUCUUUGUGAAAGUG